GAAAUGCGAUAAGUAAUGUGAAUUGCAGAAUUCCGUGAAUCAUCGAAUCUUUGAACGCAGCUUGCGCUCCUUGGUAUUCCUUGGAGCAUGCCUGUUUGAGUAUCAUGAAAUCUUCAAAGUAAAUCUUUUGUUAACUCAAUUGGUUUCUACUUUGGUAUUGGAGGUCUUUGCAGCUUCACACCUGCUCCUCUUUGUUCAUUAGCUGGAUCUCAGUGUUAUGCUUGGUUCCACUCGGCGUGAUAAGUUAUCUAUCGCUGAGGACACUGUAAAAGGUGGCCAAGGUAAAUGCAGAUGAACCGCUUCUAAUAGUCCAUUGACUUGGACAAUACUUUUAUGAUCUGAUCUCAAAUCAGGUAGGACUACCCGCUGAACUUAAGC
rnacentral:misc_RNA from 1 species